UACAGAGGGUGCGAGCGUUGUCCGGAAUCACUGGGCGUAAAGGGCGCGUAGGUGGCGCGACAAGUCAGUGGUGAAAGUUCGACGCUUAACGUCGAAUCGGCCACUGAUACUGUUGGGCUUGAGCGCUGUAGAGGCUAAUGGAAUUCCGGGUGUAGCGGUGGAAUGCGUAGAGAUCCGGAAGAACACCGGUGGCGAAGGCGGUUAGCUGGGCAGUUGCUGACACUGAGGCGCGACAGCGUGGGGAGCAAACAGG
rnacentral:rRNA from 1 species